rnacentral:rRNA from 1 species
UGCGUAGGCGGUCGGGUAAGUCUGACGUGAAAUCUUCAAGCUCAACUUGGAAACUGCGUCGGAUACUAUUCGGCUAGAGGAAUGGAGGGGAGACUGGAAUACUUGGUGUAGCAGUGAAAUGCGUAGAUAUCAAGUGGAACACCAGUGGCGAAGGCGAGUCUCUGGACAUUUCCUGACGCUGAGGCACGAAAGCCAGGGGAGCAAACGGGAUUAGAUACCCCGGUAGUCCUGGCCCUAAACGGUGCACGUUUGCUGUAAGAGGAAUCGACCCCUUUUGUGGCGAAGCUAACGCGUUAAACGUGCCGCCUGGGAAGUACGGCCGCAAGGUUAAA